rnacentral:lncRNA from 1 species
GAACAAAUUCCUCAAGAAAGCCUGAUACCUGGGAGGCACUAAACGAACAUUAGUGACUAGCUGUUGAAUUUAUUCAACACUGAAUGACUACUCUUUGCAGACUCUGUGUUAAGAGAUGCGAGUAAAGUGGUGAAAACAAGCAAGUCUCUCCCCUUGCGGAAAUCACAUGCAUAAUAAAUGCAUAAACCAAUAAAGAUUGUGUUUACAGAUAGUGUCAAAUGCUAUUUAAAAAUAAUGCAGAUUGAUUAAGGUGGGGAGUAUGAGAAGGUGUGAAGCACGCAAGAAUCUCGGGGCAGAGCAGCCCAGGCAGGGAGAAGAGCAGAGGAGGAAGGAGCUCGGCAGGUGACUGACGGCAGGACACGCCUGCAGGAGUCAAGUGGGACAGGAGACAGCGAAGUCCCAGACACAGCAGGGACCUUGAAGGCUUGGUGGGCUAAUCAAAACUUGGGCUGGAUCCGAAUGAGAGUAGAAGUCAUUGGAAAGAAGGAUUUUAGUAGGAAAAUGAUACCAACUGACUUGCGUUUGGAGAUGGCUCCAACUGCAAUGUGGAGACUGGACGGUCCCGGCAGAGCGGAAGCGGAUGACCAGGCCAGAGCGUUAUGGAACGAGAGCGAAGUCAGCGGAGCGGGAGUCUGCGGAAGACAUCUGCCCAGCUGAGGCCUGUAUUUCUCGGCUUCCUCCUGACUCCUUUCUGCCCCUCCCUCUACCACCUCCCCUGGUUCCAAGUUUGGUCACGUGAGCUCUUCUGGCUAAUGGAAUCUGUGCGUGUCGUUUCCCAGGCAGCUUCAAGAAGCCAUUGUGCUGCUAGACACAGACACUUGACUGUCGGCUGGAAAACCCAUCAUAAUGUUGAGUUAUUUAACACCAUGUGAAUCCUAACUUCCAAAUUAUAAGACAGUUUUUCUAUGCUGUUUAGUAGCAUAGUCUGUAUAUUUCCUUUGGACAACAAAAUUAUUGCCCCCCCCGGGGGAUUUAAAUAUUUCUUAGGAGACCUGAUUGUGAUUUAUACCUAUGGACUCUAAGCAGAAAACUGGCAAGAAAAUAUACAAGAGGAUGACAAUACAAUGUAAUGAGAUGGACGUCAGACUGGGGGUUAGGAGCUGCAGCUCCUGGAACCGGUUCCCCCGCGUUGGGAUGAUGAUGACAUAACCAAGCAAAUCAAAAGGAUAAGAACAAAAAUCACUGGAAUUAUUUCAACAUCGAGAUAA